AUUGAACGCUGGCGGCAGGCCUAACACAUGCAAGUCGAGCGAGCGGCGGACGUGUGAGUAAUGUCGGGGAAACUGCCUGAUGGAGGGGGAUACCUACUGGAAACGGUAGCUAAUACCGCAUACCAUCAGAUGUGCCAAGAUGGGAUUAGCUAGUAGGUAGGGUAACGGCUCACCUAGGCGACGAUCCCUAGCUGGGCUGAGAGGAUGACCAGCCACACUGGAACUGAGACACGGUCCAAACUCCUACGGGAGGCAGCAGUGGGGAAUAUGGCACAAUGGGCGCAAGCCUGAUGCAGCCAUGCCGCAUGUAUGAAGAAGGCCUUCGGGUUGUAAAGUACUUUCAGCGGGGAGGCGUUACCCGCACAAGAAGCAACGGCUAACUACGUGCCAGCAGCCGCGGUAAUUC
rnacentral:rRNA from 1 species